AUUGAACGCUGGCGGCAUGCCUUACACAUGCAAGUCGAACGGUAACAGGUCUUCGGAUGCUGACGAGUGGCGAACGGGUGAGUAAUACAUCGGAACGUGCCCGAUCGUGGGGGAUAACGAGGCGAAAGCUUUGCUAAUACCGCAUACGAUCUACGGAUGAAAGCGGGGGAUCUUCGGACCUCGCGCGGACGGAGCGGCCGAUGGCAGAUUAGGUAGUUGGUGGGAUAAACGCUUACCAAGCCGACGAUCUGUAGCUGGUCUGAGAGGAUGAUCAGCCACACUGGGACUGAGACACGGCCCAGACUCCUACGGGAGGCAGCAGUGGGGAAUUUUGGACAAUGGGCGAAAGCCUGAUCCAGCCAUGCCGCGUGCAGGAUGAAGGCCUUCGGGUUGUAAACUGCUUUUGUACGGAACGAAAAGCCUCUUUCUAAUAAAGAGGGGUCAUGACGGUACCGGAAGAAUAAGCACCGGCUAACUACGUG
rnacentral:rRNA from 1 species